rnacentral:lncRNA from 1 species
ACUCGAUUCCAUUCCAUUCCAUUCCAUUCCAUUCCAUUCCAUUCCAUUCCAUUCGAAUACAUUCCAUUCGAGUCCAUUCCAUUCAUUUCCAUUACAUUCUGUUCUGUUCUAUUCCAAUCCGUAUGAUUCCAUUUUGUUCCAUUCCAUUCCAUUCGAAUCCAUUCCAUUCGAUUCCAUUCCAUUCGAUUCCAUUCUACUGGAUUCCACUUCGUUCCAUUCCAUUGCA